AUUGAACGCUGGCGGCAGGCCUAACACAUGCAAGUCGAACGAGUGGCGGACGGGUGAGUAAUGUCUGGGAAACUGCCUGAUGGAGGGGGAUAACUACUGGAAACGGUAGCUAAUACCGCAUACCAUCAGAUGUGCCCAGAUGGGAUUUGCUAGUAGGUGGGGUAAUGGCUCACCUCGGCGACGAUCCCUAGCUGGUCUGAGAGGAUGACCAGCCAAACUGGAACUGAGACACGGUCCAGACUCCUACGGGAGGCAGCAGUGGGGAAUAUUGCACAAUGGGCGCAAGCCUGAUGCAGCCAUGCCGCGGGUGUGAAGAAGGCCUUCGGGUUGUAAAGCACUUUCAGCGAGGAGGCGUUACUCGCAGAAGAAGCACCGGCUAACUCCGUGCCAGCAGCCGCGGUAAUUC
rnacentral:rRNA from 1 species